CUACGGGGGGCAGCAGUCGAGAAUCUUCCGCAAUGAGCGAAAGCCUGACGGAGCAAUGCCGCGUGCAGGAUGAAGGCCUUCGGGUCGUAAACUGCUGUCACCGGGGAUGAAUAAUGACAGUACCCGGGGAGGAAGUCACGGCUAACUACGUGCCAGCAGCCGCGGUAAUACGUAGGUGACAAGCGUUGUUCGGAUUUACUGGGCGUAAAGGGUUCGUAGGAUGUUGAUUAAGAUUGGUGUGAAAUCCCAAGGCUCAACCUUGGAACUGCAUUGAUUACUGAUGAACUAGAGUGUCGUAGAGGAAAGCGGAAUUCCAGGUGUAGCGGUGGAAUGCGUAGAUAUCUGGAAGAACACCGACAGCGAAGGCAGCUUUCUGGGCGAUAACUGACUCUGAGGAACGAAAGCAUGGGGAGCAAACAGGAUUAGAUACCCCGGUAGUC
rnacentral:rRNA from 1 species